rnacentral:rRNA from 1 species
CCUACGGGAGGCAGCAGUAGGGAAUAUUGCACAAUGGGGGAAACCCUGAUGCAGCGACGCCGCGUGAGCGAGGAAGUAUUUCGGUAUGUAAAGCUCUAUCAGCAGGGACGAAAAAAGACGGUACCUGACUAUGCCGCCCCGGCUAACUACGUGCCAGCAGCCGCGGUAAUCCGUAGGGGGCAAGCGUUAUCCGGAUUUACUGGGGGGAAAGGGAGCGUAGACGGCAAGGCAAGCCAGAACUGAAAGGGCAGGGCUCAACCCUGUACAUGCUUUUGGAACUGUGGUGCUAGAGUGCAGGAGAGGUAAGUGGAAUUCCUAGUGUAGCGGUGAAAUGCGUAGAUAUAAGGAGGAACACCAGUGGCGAAGGCGGCUUACUGGAUUGUAACUGACGUUGAGGCUCGAAAGCGUGGGGAGCAAACAGGAAUAGAUACCCUGGUAGUC